GCGGCUGCUGUCGCGGAGAAAUGACGUAGGCACAGCCCGGUGCUGUCAGUCAGAGUUCUGCCUGGUCCGGGCCAAGGGUCCCGCGGGACCGGCGGGGCCAUGGCGGCCGUAUUUGAUUUAGACUUGGAGACCGAGGAAGGGAGCGAGGGCGAGGGCGAACCGGAGUUCAGCCCUGCGGACGUGUGUCCCCUUGGCGAAUUAAGGGCUGCUGGCCUGGAGACAGUGGGACACUAUGAAGAAGUAGAGCUGACAGAGAGCAGCGUGAACCUGGGUCCUGAGCGCAUCGGGCCCCACUGCUUUGAGCUACUGAGUGUACUGGGCAAGGGGGGCUAUGGCAAGGUGUUCCAGGUGAGAAAAGUGCAAGGCACCAACUUGGGAAAAAUAUAUGCCAUGAAGGUCUUAAGGAAGGCCAAGAUUGUAUGCAGUGCCAAGGACACAGCCCAUACCCGGGCUGAGAGGAACAUUCUAGAAUCUGUGAAGCAUCCCUUCAUUGUAGAACUGGCCUAUGCUUUCCAGACAGGUGGCAAACUCUACCUCAUCCUGGAGUGCCUCAGUGGUGGUGAGCUCUUCACACAUCUUGAGCGAGAAGGCAUCUUCCUGGAAGACACAGCCUGCUUCUACCUGGCAGAGAUCACACUAGCCCUGGGCCAUCUCCAUUCCCACGGCAUCAUCUACCGGGACCUCAAGCCUGAGAACAUCAUGCUCAGCAGCCAGGGCCACAUCAAACUGACAGACUUUGGACUUUGCAAGGAGUCCAUUCAUGAGGGUGCUAUCACUCACACCUUCUGUGGCACCAUUGAGUACAUGGCCCCAGAGAUUCUAGUGCGCACUGGUCACAACCGGGCAGUGGACUGGUGGAGCCUGGGAGCCCUGAUGUACGACAUGCUCACUGGAUCGGCAAGUCCAGCUUCCUUGGGCGCAGGCCGCCCUUCACUGCAGAGAACCGGAAGAAAACUAUGGAUAAAAUCAUUAAAGGGAAGCUGGUGCUGCCCCCCUACCUCACCCCGGAUGCCCGGGACCUUGCCAAAAAGGUGGGGCUCCUUCUCAUCCAGGGACUUAUUUCUGCCUCUUCCCUAAACCCUGUCAGCAACUCUGCAUGUCUGAUCGACUGUCCCUAGGCUCUGGGGAAGGCCAUGCCUUAACCCCCUGCCUGUGCAGUUUGUCUCUGGGGAUGGCAGACACAUUGGCUUUGGAAUGAGAACCCUGAGUUUAGGCCUGGGCUCCGAGAGCCUGAGCACUGUCCCUGAGCAGGACUGAAUCUCUGUCUUUAUCAGCAGGGUGUUCUUGUGAGUUAGCCCUGCUCCAUCAGAAAGGCCACGACCAGCCUCCUAAGGGAAGGGGAAUGCCACCAAGGUUGCAUGAAGAGGGCACUGUUGACCCAACUCUGAAAGGAUUGAGGGGUGCAUCGGGCAGAGGCCAUGUUCUAGACCCUAUUUCUGCUUGCCUGGUCCCCAUUCUGGAGGCUGGGCACACACCAUCUACUUCUCUCCACCCUUACCUUACCCUGUUCAGUUUCUGAAGCGGAACCCCACUCAGCGAAUUGGGGGUGGCCUGGGAGAUGCUGCUGAUGUCCAGAGGCACCCCUUUUUCCGGCACAUCAAUUGGGAUGAUCUCUUGGCCCGCCGCGUGGACCCUCCCUUCAGGCCAAGUCUGCAAUCAGAAGAGGAUGUGAGCCAGUUUGAUGCACGAUUCACACGGCAGACGCCGGUAGAUAGUCCAGAUGACACAGCCCUCAGUGAGAGUGCCAACCAAGCCUUCCUGGGCUUUACAUAUGUGGCACCUUCUGUCCUGGACAGCAUCAAAGAGGGCUUCUCCUUCCAGCCCAAGCUGCGUUCUCCCAGACGCCUUAACAGCAGUCCCCGCACCCCCAUCAGCCCCCUCAAGUUCUCUCCCUUUGAGGGGUUCCGGCCCAGUCCCGGCCCACCAGAGCCCAUGGAGCCAUCUCUACCUCCACUCCUACCAUCACCACCAUCACCACCACCCACAAGCACUGCCCCCCUUCCCAUCCGUCCUCCCUCAGGAACCAAGAAGUCCAAGAAGGGACGGGGCCGCUCAGGGCGUUAGGAGAAUAGAGGAAGAGAGGGCAGCUGUGAGAACCCGGCUCGUUCCGACCUGCGGAUAGUCAAGCGAUCAGAGUAUGUCUUGUGUGUGAGAGUGAGCCUUACAAUCAUGUCCACUGAAGCCACUGGCAGUGGCUCCCAACCCCCAUCCCAUUAGAAGGGACUUGGCCUGCCCUUUGGAACUGUGCCCUUGUAGAAGAAGUAAAGGACUGAAUCAUG